CUACGGGAGGCAGCAGUGGGGAAUAUUUGCCCAAUGGGCAAAAGCCUGAUCCAGCCAUGCCGCGUGAGUGAUGAAGGCCCUAGGGUUGUAAAGCUCUUUUGUGCCGGGAAGAUAAUGACUGUACCGGGAGAAUAAGCCCCGGCUAACUUCGUGCCAGCAGCCGCGGUAAU
rnacentral:rRNA from 1 species